GCUCCUAUAGCUCAGUAGGUAGAGCAACUGAUUCGUAAUCAGUAGGUCACAGGUUCGACUCCUGCUGGGAGCACCA
rnacentral:tRNA from 4 species